GGGAGCCGCCUCCGUAUCGCUCGUCCAGAGACGCCCUGCGCAGGACAGACGAUGCUUUGCUCACUAAUCACAUUUCGGGACAUAUAAUCCUUACUUCACACUUCUUCCCAGACAAUAUCUUUCCAUAUAAUCUUAAUGAUUCCUGCUGCAAUAACAAAUAGGCAGCCCUGAGAAUAACUUCACACUUAAUUGCUCGUGCCAAGAAUCUCACCACUUGGCCCUUCUUUGGGUGUUUUCCCUCCAAUCCAUCUGCACAAACAGAAGUGGGCCAGUUCUGUGCCUCAGGAAUGAGGAGAUAAAAAGGCAAUAAUUUAUUUUUCCACCAAAGCUAGAAGUAUUUUAUAGAAUUUGCUAAAGUUUUUGUUUCAGGAAAUUUCAUCAUGUCUCCAGGAAAAAAAAAAAAGCACCUAAUUGGCCUCAGAUUUUCUACCUCCCUUUUCAUUUUUGUAAUAUGAGGAGGUCUAGGUCAUCUCAAGGUCACUGCAGUUAGUGUUGCUUUAGUGCACCUCUGUGGAUACCUCAUUUCUGCAGCAGUUUUUCCUUUAAAAACAGCCCCAGCCUGCUGCUGUAACAGCCACUUUCUUUGGCAACCAUUUGCAUUCCUUUAGCAUAUGGAAAUAUUUUUGAAAACACAUACCAGGGUAUGCUGCUUAUAGGUGAAACUCUCCAUCAGAAAUGGGGCAAAUGCUUCUGAGCUAUUCGAAUGUUGUUGAAAAAAAACAAGAGUAAAUCCCUCAGCUUUGAACAGAAAGCUGCCAUUUCCCAUUAUCUAGUUUGGAAUCUUAGUUAAUGUCAGAAUGAAAUGCUGGUGGUUAUCAAAUCAAUAAAAAUGUUUUGCUUGGGAAAAAUCUGAUUUUACCACCCUCCCAAGCCUUCCUGCUGCCCUGGUGUGUUGGCUUGCACAGCUCCGGCUGGGGAGCUCGUUCCAGCCUGGGUUUAGCUUGAUCUUCUGAUCUCAGCAAAGCUGUGCGCUACAAAUCUUUCACCUUAGGAAAAACGAUGUGGUAUCUUGAAAACGGAGCAAAUUAUGAGUUUGUAUGUGCUGUAGAAACACAGGUUUUUUUUUUUAAAAAAAUGUGUGUACCUGAAUGGCGAGAUUUUUCUGAGCAGAUAAGGCCAAAAUAGGACGGAGAAAGGAGGUGCCACCCCUGUUCAUUGCAGCGUGGAGGAAAAGAGCAGUUUACAUGGUGGAUAAAGUGUGUGGCCGGCUCAGUGCGUUGUGUUAACCCCUGUGCCAGCACUGUCUGCAGCUCUCCCGGAUGGGAUCAGCUUAGGCUGGACUUACUGGGUGUUGUGAUUGUACAUUUAUAGCAAAGCCAAUGCACUCUACAAGUACCCCCAUGUUAUCUCCAUCUGGUUUUGUCUCUUCGUGCUGCUGGUGUCAAAAAAAUGACACCAAUUUGCAAAUGGAAGGCCCAAAAGCAAGUAAGAAUUGGUGGGGAGAGCCUGCAGGCAUAAUGACGCAGUGGGCGCUGCCGCACAGACGUGCUCCCUGGUCCCACACUCAACACACCUUUUCAGUUUUCUAGUAGCGCUGAGGAAGGAUAAACCGCCCAACUCUGGGGGAGAAGAGAGAGAUGGAGAGGACCAGGCGGCCGUGGAGCAUCUUCUCAAGCAUCGAAAGACGGGGUGGAAAUGCGGAGCAGCUCAAAGAGCGGGGCAGGCAGCUGCAAGUUGAUUCACUUCACCAUCGCACGCACUUGCCAAAUUCAUGGGGGCAGCUGCGGGACUAAGAUGCUGGGAAAGGACCUUCAAAGGUGGGUGAUGCUGUGCCAGGGAGUUUAAUCACAAGGAGGACUUGGAAAAGCGUUGGUGUGGAAGUGGUUGUGUUCCCACAGGAGGUUUGUUUUAUGUUUUAGGCAAGCAUGUGGUUAAGCAGAGCGCCAGGCUGGAUCCUGGUACCGAGGUAUCUGUGUAUUUAUUCGUUUAAAAAACAAUCUGCACUGCAGAUUGGAUCUCUUGCUGCAGAUGCACUGGUCCUCACUUCUUCCCAGCUCUGAUCUCAGGUCACAUUUCUGGAAAUGUGACAAAGGCACAGGUUUGGGUGUGCAUGAGUAUGCGUUGUUCACCUUGAAAACAACAUUUUCUUUUUACUAGCAGCAUCCUUACUGCUCUGUGAAAAAGGUACUGUGUGCCCACUGCCAGUGAUGCCUUAGAAGAAAGCUGUACUGGCCUGAAAAGCAAGAGAGGUCAAGCUUUGCUAUGCUGAAGAUCACAUUUCAGCAGACGGAAAGGCCAUAAAUGACUGCACUGAUUGCCUUGACAGGGGUUGGAAAGAAAAUUGGAAUGGAGGGAGCAAAAUCAUAUAUUCAGGGCAAGAGCGGCAAUGGAAGCAAUACCAAAGUUAGCCCUGCAUGAGCAGCAAGGCAAAUAGCACUGCUGAAGAGUGAAUUAACUUUUCCUUCAAAGCUGGGCUUACUGGGCCGGGUUUGCUGCGCGUCGGGCUGCGGCACCUGUGGGGUGAGCAGCUGCUGAGCUCGUUUCCUCACCGCAACUCGCCCGGUCGUGCCGCCCUGUGCGGGGACGCACUCACCUGUCUCCUCACAGCACAUUGCGCUUUCGAGCUACUUUGGAAGAUUUCGGUGAGCAGAACGUGGGCUUUCCAGAACAGGGGGAGCAGAGGAAAUCUGCAUCGUGGUUUAUUUCUGUGAGAGAAAUGCUCUUGGUACCAUUAGUGGGCAAGAAAACAGACAAGAUGCCCUCUUGAGUGUCCUCUUGGUGUAUUUGCUGGGGUGCAUGCAACUCCAAAACACAGCUAUUCACAGUUUUGUGUCCACAUAUAUGAACAGAUUUCUUGCUUGUACUGUAUUUGUGUUUUCGCUACUGCCCCUUCUGAAUAUUUACAUAUCUGAGGUCUUCUUACUUUGUAUGAACCCUGGGGAAAAUAUUAAGCCUGCAGGUGUUUUGCAGUAGAAAUGUUGCAUUUUAGGUAUGAUGUGGCCCUGUUUAACGCAACUGCAGGAUGUAAAGCUGUGGACAAACUGCCCUAAAUCUCCUGGUUAUGUUUGGUUGCAAUGGCAAGCAAUACCACCAAAAAAGUACAACAAAGACCCAUCAUCUGUGCGGGUUGUUUGGUAUUUUUCCUGCAUUUCAUUUGGAGUGCAUAGUAAUUUUGUGUGCCUGAAAGAGGGAAAGCCCAUAUAGAUACUGCAUGUGGCUAAGAAACCUUAGAGCAGCCUUGUUUCUUAGGGAACAAUGGGUUAGAACAGAACUUCUGCUUUUACACACGUUCCUUUUUUGCCUGUUCUGUGGUUGCUGUUAAUCUGAAAUGUACCUGUGUCAGUAGCAGCAGUAGCAGGAGAUAAAGAAAGGAAGUGAUGUGCUGUGAGCAGAACCCGAUAGAAACAGAGGUAGCCUGAAACGUCAUAAUUUUUUCUUUAUUCCUAAUUCCAGUGUUAGUAUAAAUUUCCCCAAUAGUUCACCGCGUUAUUUAGGACUCCAUAAAUCCUGAUCUUAACAUUUAACCCUGUUUUUAUCCAUUGCAGUUUAAAACCUGUCUUCUUCUGCCUCCUUGAUUCACAAUCGGAGAUAAUGCAUUCGCGUUUCAGUGGUGGCAAGCAACUCUUCUUUAACAGCUUGUGGAAGGUGGAAGACUUGUACUGAAUUUGGCUUUGUUGGGUUAUUUCCUCAGUGUGAACUCCGCUGUGACAGCGUUUGAGAUGCAGCCACAGUGCGGGUGAGGAAGCGCUGGAGCUGAGGCAAAGGUUCUUGCUUAGGGGCCCUUAUUCCACAACCAUACACAGAGGAGAAUUUUGUAGCUGUUAUUGCCGGGCUUAAGUUCUCUCUCUCACGACAAGACACGUGGCCUAAUAUCUGUUGGCAAGCUGGGGAUCCAAAAUGAAACACCAUUCUAUAUGACCUAUUUAGAGCUGUAUACGUGCUGGUGCUGAUCCAUCUGUGCUUCAGGCCAGGUGCCACUUGGGGAACACUGGGAGGGGAGCCCAGCUGGAAAACAAGGUUCCAGAGCAACACGUUCCCACUGAUGAUCUUGGGUGAGAUCUUUCACCCUCAAGGUUUCGUUUUUUCUCCUGCAUCUGACGAGCACUGUGAGACAACAGCAAACCUGCAGCCAGGUUAUGAGCUUCCAGGGGUUACUUCCAACAGAGCUCAGCACUCAUUUAGGGACCCAGUUGGAUGGCUGGGUUUUCAAAGGGGCUCUGUACGUCUGGUGUCACACGCUUUUGGAAAUCAGAGCUGUGUACAGGGCUGAAUUUAAGCAAAUUGUGCCCCACCUGUGGUUGCUGAGGGGUCUGAAUACUGCACGUGUCCUUCCAGGUGGUAUGGGACCCCUGUACCCAGUGGUUUUCUGGAGAGCGUAUUGUAGUUUGUUUGCACCCUCUGCUUCUUUCUUACCACAUUUUGCCAUAUUAGGCAAAUAACAGAACUGGCAAAUAUGCCAGUAACAAAUACCGUAUUUUUUUUCUGUUGAUGGGUUUCCUGCAAAGGCCCGUUUCUAAGACUCUGCUUGUCAGAACUGGCUGAACACCCCAUACCAAGGUGUGUCAGCUUGCAGAGCAUCAGUGAACUAUUUGCCAUGACGAGCCUUUGGCUAUUUACUGCGAAUUAUGCAGAGCAAGUGAUUAAUCAUGCAGGUUGGGUGCUUUUGUUUUGUUUUGCUUUUUAACUCCACAGCUGGAUAACUGAAACAAGAGGAGCAAAAUGAGGAAAUUCAAGUUGCCACAUCAAGCCUUCCAGCGCGAGCACUAGAGCCAACACGCAUUCAUGUGAGAGCUGGCGAGACUUUUUACUUCUUCCACUACCGCUAUGACAUUUUGGCAAUUCCUGAGCCCAUUGCCGAGCUUUUAACUUGUCCCAUGUGACACAAUCCAAACAGGCUGGGCCAUGCUCCCUCUCAGUUACUGCAGUGAUACAACAGCCUUCCAGAUGAUAUUCCUCUUUAAGGAAAAUCAAUACUUUUUUGUGCAAGAACUUAAUGGAAUGGAUACGUGUCCUUUCUGCUCAGCCAGUGCUGCGGUGUAGUGUGAGAAGAGCAUCAGCAUCCAUGUGAACAACAGGGCCGGCAGGGUUCAAGAAUAAAACCCAUGUUCAACUGCAGCUGUGAGCCUGGGCAGCAGGUACAAACCAGAAGACAGAAAGAGACUGUGAGUGCUUUGAUAAGCCUGGAACCCAGAGACAGAGUAAGAAAAGGAGCAGAGACACUGACACAUGCAAAUUCGUUUAAUGGCCCUGGCAGUUCUUCAGGUUUCCAGGCUGCAGUGUCUCACUGACGGCAGAUGCAAUAAUCACCGGACCCACCCUUGGCGCGGCUGCGGCAGCCGACACACCGCACGGCAGGACCCGCUGCUCCCGCGCCAGCCGCCGGGAGCGCGUUUCUGAACCAGGGAAGAACCAGCCAGAUUUGACUCACACUGCCACAGGGAAUGAAGGUGGAAGAUGCAGAUAAUGUCCUAAAUUCUAACAAGAAAAUGCUCAACUUGAUGGUCCUGGAAAAGAUGAAGAGGAGACCAUUGCUGCUUGAGAAGAGGGCAUAGAAAAUAGCAAAACAGUUCUGUGAGACGGUCUUCAUCCAAUUCAUGAUGACUUUUUGGUAUAAGUGAAGGCAAUUUGUAACUAAAUGGAGAGAUGCUGGAGCUGUUAGUGGCCUCCAAGGAUGUAGGAGACGUGUGAUGUAAUGAAACCUUGCAGCUUCAGAGCAUAAGGACAGAUCUUGCUCUGAUGAAAUAUAAUUUAAUCCUUAGUUUCCUUGCCAAUAAAAAAAUGUAUGUGUGGGGACAACUUGGCAUCUCCCAUAGAAAGUCUUUUUGGAUUAGAUAAACUGAAAUCUUAUUGGGUUUUAAUGUCAAAGUGCGUUAUAAUCUCAAAUGUGGCUGUAAUAACACCACCUUCUUACAAUUAAUUGAUUUUAUAUCCAUUUUAUAAUUUUAAUGUUUUAUACGGUUUCCUGGCAAUGAGAUGCGUAGUGAACGAGGCCCUUCCAGGGGCUGUUCGGUGUGUCUGAUGGAGCAGUAUUAAUAACUUCCAAAUCCUUGAUGGCUAAAGGGCUAAAGUCUCUACCUCAGAGUGAGCUCGUGUAACGAAGGAGCAUUGUGAGCAGGUGAUGGUCUUGAUGUGAUGUGUUACAGAGAGGCAUCUGCAUCGGGCCUCUGAAGAACCAUCAUGGGCAGAAUCUCCGGGUCGCCUGACUUUGAGUGCAGGAGGUUUGGGUUUAUUCCUUAUUUAUCAACACACCACAGGAAAUACUUGGAAUGGCCUUGCAGAUCUGAAAUCACUGGUGAAACAUGUUCUAAAAGAGAUAUGAGAGGGGCUGGAUAAGAUAAUUUACAGUUAAAAAAAAAAAUCUAAAUUAUUUCAGCAAUAUGAAGCCAUCUAAAUAGGGUUGUUCAUCAAGGAAGUAAUUUAACUGAAAGUUCGACCUGCAUUAUAAAGAUUUCUCCUGGUCUCCGACAUGUUGUGAUUUUCAAUUCUGAUGCCAAAAUCAGUUAUUUUACAUUGAGAAAGUUCAUUUUCUUAUUUAUUUUGCCAGCUGUUCUCUUUUCUCAUCUGCCUAUAUUCUUCGGUUAUUAUGUUCGCAUUUUUUGACGUAAUGGCUUCAGGUCUUUGCUCAUUAUGCUGUUUAGGGACCAUAACUGAAUAAAUAAUUUUUAAAAGUGCUGAAGAGGGAAGACAGAAGAUAUGAAAAAUACAACAGGAUAUAAUCUGGUCUUCAUCAUGGCAGACAAUGUGCAUCUCGGCUCUACUACUGCUUAGGUUACAAUACUCAGAGAAAUUUGUAUAAAUAUUUAUACAAAUGUAUUUAUUUAUACAAAUAUCUCAGUUGAAGACAAUAAGACAGCUUGUGUGGCUAUUGUUCAAAGUAAUUACUUUUUAUUUCCUGGAGUUUCUGGUUUGUCAACAAACAAAACCACCACCAAUAAAAGUUGUUGUCCCUGUCCCAGAUUGCUUUAAGUGUCAGAGUCCUCGAGGAAGCAGUUUUUGAGAACACUAAAAUAAAAAGAAUGAAACUUUGAUUUAUUUGGUCUGAACAUUGUCAUUCUUUGUUUUGAGAUGAGUUCAAGGUUUUAUAUCUAUAAUGAUUCUUCCCCUGUUCCAGACCACAUUGGCAUUGCAAAUGGUGUGGAGUUAGCAUUAUUGCUCAACAACUGAUCUAUUGUGAAACUCCUGCAGCACGUAACAUGCAGCUACCACUACCACAGGUAACAGGUAUGCUGCU